rnacentral:misc_RNA from 1 species
CUUUCCUCUUUCUCUUCCUUUUCCUUCUCCCAUGAUUCAAGAUGUCAUUUUGGUUCUCAUCCUCCUCUAGAUUCAAUAAGUCAUCGUGUUCCUUAUCCAUAUGUUCGCCUUCGCUGUCUUUUCAUUUUCUUCUUCCUCUUUCUUUUCCUUCUCUCACGAUUCAAAAUGUCAUUUUGGUUCUCAUCCUCCUCCUGAUUCAAUAAGUCAUCGUGUUCCUUAUCCUCAGGUUCGCCUUCGUCGUCGUCCUCAUGUUUUUUUUCAAUGCUUAUUAU